rnacentral:rRNA from 1 species
AGCGAACGCUGGCGGUGGGCCUAACACAUGCAAGUCGAACGGCAGCACACUAAGAGCUUGCUCUUACGGAUUGCCAGUGGCGGACGGGUGAGGAAUACAUCGGAAUCUACUUUUUCGUAGGAGAUAACGUAACGAAACUUACUCUCAUACCGCAUACGACCUACGGGUGAAAGCAGGGGAUCUUCUGACCUUGCGCGAUUGAAUGAGCCGAUGUCGGAUUAGCUAGUUGGCGGGGUAAAGGCCCACCCAGGCGACGAUCCGUAGCUGGUCUGAGAGGAUGAUCAGCCACACGGGAAGGGAGACACGGUCCAGACUCCUACGGGAGGCAGCAGUGGGGAAUAUUGGACAAUGGGGGCAAGCCUGAUCCAGCCAUACCGCGUGGGUGAAGAAGGCCUUCGGGUUGUAAAGCCCUUUUGUUGGGAAAGAAAAGCAGCAGGUUAAUACCACGCUGUCCUGACGGUACCCAAAGAAUAAGCACCGGCUAACUUCGUG